GGCUCUUUAGCUCAGGGGUAGAGCGUUGCUCUCGUAAAGCAAAGGUCAGUGGUUCGAAUCUGCUAAGAGCCU
rfam:Nematocida parisii ERTm3 unplaced genomic scaffold supercont1.4, whole genome shotgun sequence.